rnacentral:rRNA from 1 species
UACGGGGGGUGCAAGCAUUAAUCGGAUUUAUUGGGCGUAAAGGGCGCGUAGGCGGGGAUGUAAGUCAAAUGUGAAAUCCCGGGGCUCAACCCCGGAAUGGCAUUUGAGACUGUGUUUCUUGAGGGUAGGCGGAGAAAAUGGAAUUCCACGUGUAGCGGUGAAAUGCGUAGAUAUGUGGAAGAACACCUGUGGCGAAAGCGGUUUUCUAGCUUAUUCCUGACGCUGAGGCGCGAAAGCAAGGGGAUCAAACAGG